rnacentral:misc_RNA from 1 species
AGUGAUCAAUUAAUCCUAAUUCUAUUAGGAUUUGAAGUCGUAUCCUUCUACAAGAUAAUUCAGGCGAAAUUACCCUUCUUUCACAGUCUUGGAUGCAACUACGCUCGAUGUCCAGAACUCUUGCUUGGUGCCAAGGGCUCGUGUCCGGCAACUGAGGCUUUCUCCUAUCCUGUCAUCACUUCUGAUGUGCAAUGAAGUAUCUCAUGGAGGUACUUGAAAAGUGGACCAGGA